rnacentral:rRNA from 1 species
GACGAACGCUGGCGGCGUGCUUAACACAUGCAAGUCGAACGGAAAGGCCCUGCUUUUGUGGGGUGCUCGAGUGGCGAACGGGUGAGUAACACGUGAGUAACCUGCCCUUGACUUUGGGAUAACUUCAGGAAACUGGGGCUAAUACCGGAUAGGAGCUCCUGCUGCAUGGUGGGGGUUGGAAAGUUUCGGCGGUUGGGGAUGGACUCGCGGCUUAUCAGCUUGUUGGUGGGGUAGUGGCUUACCAAGGCUUUGACGGGUAGCCGGCCUGAGAGGGUGACCGGCCACAUUGGGACUGAGAUACGGCCCAGACCCCUACGGGAGGCAGCAGUGGGGAAUAUUGCACAAUGGGCGGAAGCCUGAUGCAGCAACGCCUCGUGCGGGAUGACGGCCUUCGGGUUGUAAACCGCUUUCGCCUGUGACGAAGCGUGAGUGACGGUAAUGGGUAAAGAAGCGCCGGCUAACUACGUG